UGGAUUAUGGCGAACGGGUGAGUAACACGUGGGCAAUCUGCCCUGCACUCUGGGACAAGCCCUGGAAACGGGGUCUAAUACCGGAUACUGAUCGCCUUGGGCAUCCUUGGUGAUCGAAAGCUCCGGCGGUGCAGGAUGAGCCCGCGGCCUAUCAGCUUGUUGGUGAGGUAAUGGCUCACCAAGGCGACGACGGGUAGCCGGCCUGAGAGGGCGACCGGCCACACUGGGACUGAGACACGGCCCAGACUCCUACGGGAGGCAGCAGUGGGGAAUAUUGCACAAUGGGCGAAAGCCUGAUGCAGCGACGCCGCGUGAGGGAUGACGGCCUUCGGGUUGUAAACCUCUUUCAGCAGGGAAGAAGCGAAAGUGACGGUACCUGCAGAAGAAGCGCCGGCUAACUACGUGCCAGCAGCCGCGGUAAUACGUAGGGCGCGAGCGUUGUCCGGAAUUAUUGGGCGUAAAGAGCUCGUAGGCGGCUUGUCGCGUCGGUUGUGAAAGCCCGGGGCUUAACCCCGGGUCUGCAGUCUAUACGGGCAGGCUAGAGUUCGGUAGGGGAGAUCGGAAUUCCUGGUGUAGCGGUGAAAUGCGCAGAUAUCAGGAGGAACACCGGUGGCGAAGGCGGAUCUCUGGGCCGAUACUGACGCUGAGGAGCGAAAGCGUGGGGAGCGAACAGGAUUAUAUACCCUGGUAGUCCACGCCGUAA
rnacentral:rRNA from 1 species